CAUUACCUGGGGUGCUCGACAGUUCUGUUUAUUUUUGAACCUACAUCGACUUGAACGGGUUUCCUAUAUCUCUGUGAACAAUGUCAGGCCGUCCUCGAACGGAAGACAGCGGCGCAGUUGCGGUUACCCACCUAGCUUACAGCUAGGAGUCAAAAAGCGGAGCACCGGCACUCUGGGCUGUGU
rnacentral:other from 1 species